rnacentral:rRNA from 1 species
UACGUAGGCAGCAAGCGUUGUUCGGAGUUACUGGGCGUAAAGGGUGCGUAGGCGGUUGUUUAAGUUUGGUGUGAAAUCUCCCGGCUCAACUGGGAGGGUGCGCCGAAUACUGAAUGACUAGAGUGCGGGAGAGGAGAGUGGAAUUCCUGGUGUAAGCGGUGAAAUGCGUAGAUAUCAGGAGGAACACCGGUGGUGGUAGACGGCUCUCUGGACCGUAACGUGACGCUGAGGCACGAAAGCGUGGGUAGCAAACAGG